UUUUUCCCCUUAUGCAUUUAUUGUAGACAUUUCAUAACUAACCAAAAAAUAAAGCUAAUUUGUUAAUUCUCAUAUUUUCAGAAACUUAAGUUUAUAGAACUCUUCAUGGAGCUUACACAAAAAUUUUGGAGGUUAUGCACGCAAAGAAAAGACUUUUAGGCACCUUCUUCAGAGUUGCCUUUUAUGGCCCAGUAAAUGUCAAAGAGUUUGACCCCAAAUAUGCUCAUAUCCAAGUCACUUAUGUGAAGCCCUACUUUGAUGAUAAAGAACUCACAGAAACAAAAACUGAGUUUGAAAGAAACCAUAAUAUCAACAGAUUUGUUUUUGAGGCUCCUUAUACAUUGUCAGGCAAAAAGCAAAGUUGUAUGGAGGAACAGUGCAAAGGCCGUACAGUCUUGACUACCUCAAACUCAUUUCCAUAUGUGAAGAAGAGGAUUUCUAUAAACUAUGAACAGCAGAUUCAUUUAAAGCCAAUUGAUGUUGCCACGGAUAAAAUAAAGCUGCAGAGCUGCAAAAGCUUUGCUCUUCUGCUGACGUGGACAUGAUUCAGCUCCAACUUAAAUUGCAGGGCUGUGUUUGAGUGCAGGUAAAUGCAGGUCCAUUAGCAUAUGCCAGAGCUGUCUUAAAUGACAGUCAAACUAGCAAGUAUCCACCCAAAAAAGUAAAUGAGUUGAAAGACAUGUUUAGAUAAUACAAGAAGACCCGAUGCACUCUCCCUGGAUGAGCAACACAUUACGUGUAUUUUGUGCAAUUAGUGGUACAUCAAGUGACCGAAGCUAUGGUUCCCCAAGAUACACUGCUGAAAUAUGAGGACAUGCAGAUGUCAAGUGACAACAAGACUGAACUUCUCAGGAAUAUUUGGAGGGGUGCAAAUGUUAAAAAUUUAAAGAUUUGUUGUACACAGAUUUCUACUGUAUAGUAAAGUGAUUCAGUAUACAC